GACGAACGCGGGCGGCGUGCUUAAUACAUGCAAGUAGAACGCUGAAGGAGGAGCUUGCUUCUCUGGUGAGUUGCGAACGGGUGAGUAACGCGUAGGUAACCUGCCUGGUAGCGGGGGAUAACUAUUGGAAACGAUAGCUAAUACCGCAUAAGAGUAGAUGUUGCAUGACAUUUGCUUAAAAGGUGCAAUUGCAUCACUACCAGAUGGACCUGCGUUGUAUUAGCUAGUUGGUGAGGUAACGGCUCACCAAGGCAACGAUACAUAGCCGACCUGAGAGGGUGAUCGGCCACACUGGGACUGAGACACGGCCCAGACUCCUACGGGAGGCAGCAGUAGGGAAUCUUCGGCAAUGGACGGAAGUCUGACCGAGCAACGCCGCGUGAGUGAAGAAGGUUUUCGGAUCGUAAAGCUCUGUUGUAAGAGAAGAACGAGUGUGAGAGUGGAAAGUUCAC
rnacentral:rRNA from 1 species